rnacentral:rRNA from 1 species
UAGGGAAUCUUCGGCAAUGGACGAAAGUCUGACCGAGCAACGCCGCGUGAGUGAAGAAGGUUUUCGGAUCGUAAAACUCUGUUGGUAGAGAAGAACGUUGGUGAGAGUGGAAAGCUCAUCAAGUGACGGUAACUACCCAGAAAGGGACGGCUAACUACGUGCCAGCAGCCGCGGUAAUACGUAGGUCCCGAGCGUUGUCCGGAUUUAUUGGGCGUAAAGCGAGCGCAGGUGGUUUAUUAAGUCUGGUGUAAAAGGCAGUGGCUCAACCAUUGUAUGCAUUGGAAACUGGUAGACUUGAGUGCAGGAGAGGAGAGUGGAAUUCCAUGUGUAGCGGUGAAAUGCGUAGAUAUAUGGAGGAACACCGGUGGCGAAGGCGGCUCUCUGGCCUGUAACUGACACUGAGGCUCGAAAGCGUGGGGAGCAAACAGGAUUAGAUACCCUGGUAGUCCACGCCGUAAACGAUGAGUGCUAGAUGUAGGGAGCUAUAAGUUCUCUGUAUCGCAGCUAACGCAAUAAGCACUCCGCCUGGGGAGUACGACCGCAAGGU